UACGUAGGGUGCGAGCGUUGCCCGGAUUUAUUGGGCGUAAAGAGCGUGUAGGCGGCCAGGUAGGUCGGUUGUGAAAACUGGAGGCUCAACCUUCAGAGGUCGACCGAAACCAUCUGGCUAGAGUCCGGGAGAGGAGAGUGGAAUUCCUGGUGUAGCGGUGAAAUGCGUAGAUAUCGGGAGGAACACCUGUGGCGAAAGCGGCUCACUGGACCACAACUGACGCUGAGGCGCGAAAGCUAGGGGAGCAAACAGG
rnacentral:rRNA from 1 species